rnacentral:rRNA from 1 species
UUACCCACCUUUAACAUGUACGGAAGUUGCCAAAGAUGGCUUCGUGCUCGAAAGAGAGCCGUAACACAGGUGCUGCAUGGCUGUCGUCAGCUCGUGUCGUGAGAUGUUGGGUUAAGUCCCGCAACGAGCGCAACCCUUGUCAUUAGUUGCUACGAAAGGGCACUCUAAUGAGACUGCCGGCGACAAACCGGAGGAAGGUGGGGAUGACGUCAAGUCCUCAUGGCCCUUAUAGGUGGGGCUACACACGUCAUACAAUGGCUGGUACAAAGGGUUGCCAACCCGCGAGGGGGAGCUAAUCCCAUAAAACCAGUCGUAGUCCGGAUCGCAGUCUGCAACUCGACUGCGUGAAGUCGGAAUCGCUAAGUAAUCGUGGAUCAGAAUGUCAACGGUGAAUACGUUCCCGGGUCUUGUACACACCGCCCGUCACACCAUGGGAGCGGUCUCGCCAGAAGUAGUUAGCCUAACCGCAAGGGGGGCGAUUACCACGGCGGGGUUCGUGACUGGGGUGAAGUCGUAACAAGGUAACCA